UCGGAUGCUCUUACGUUUAGUCUGACAGCA
rnacentral:rRNA from 1 species